CGCUGGCGGCGUGCCUAACACAUGCAAGUCGAGCGGAGACAUUUGAGUAGCAAUACGAGGAUGUUUAGCGGCGGACGGGUGAGUAACGCGUGAGCAACCUGUCCCAAACAGGGGGAUAACGAACCGAAAGGUUCACUAAUACCGCAUAAGACCACGGAGUCACAUGGCUUUGAGGUCAAAGGAGCAAUUCGGUUUGGGGUGGGCUCGCGUCUGAUUAGCUAGUUGGUGAGGUAAAGGCCCCACCAAGGCGACGAUCAGUAGCCGACCUGAGAGGGUGAUCGGCCACAUUGGAACUGAGACACGGUCCAAACUCCUACGGGAGGCAGCAGUGGGGAAUAUUGGGCAAUGGGGGAAACCCUGACCCAGCAACGCCGCGUGAAGGAAGAAGGUUUUCGGAUCGUAAACUUCUAUCCUUGGUGAAAAUAAUGAUGGUAGCCAAGAAGGAAGCCCCGGCUAACUACGUGCCAGCAGCAGC
rnacentral:rRNA from 1 species